rnacentral:rRNA from 1 species
CUAACCGUAAACGAUGACAACCAGCGAUUAGUCGGUGUUAAUAUACCGACCCGACUAGCAGGCUUCCGGGAAACCAAAGUUUUUCGUUUCCGGGGGAAGUAUGGUUGCAAAGCUGAAACUUAAAGGAAUUGACGGAAGGGCACCACCAGGAGUGGAGCCUGCGGCUUAAUUUGACUCAACACGGGAAAACUCACCCGGCCCGGACACCCGUAAGGAUUGACAGACUGAGAGCUCUUUUCUUAAUUCGGUGGGGUGGUGGUGCAUGGCCGUUCUUAGUUGGUGGGAGCGAUUUGUCUGGUUAAUUCCGAUAACGAACGAGACUCUGGCCUAUUAAAUAGUCGGUAUAUCCGGAAAAGUUUACCGUACUUCUUAGAGGGACAAACGGCGUCUAGCCGCGUGAAAUAGAGCAAUAACAGGUCUGUGAUGCCCUUAGAUGUCCGGGGCUGCACGCGCGCUACACUGAAAGAAUCAGUAUGCGCUUUAACCUAGUCCGGAAGGAUUGGGUAACCCGAGCAAAUUCUUUCGUGCUUGGGAUAGGGAAUUGCAAUUAUUUCCCUUAAACGAGGAAUUCCCAGUAAAUGCGGGUCAUAAGCUCGCGUUG